AUUAAUCAAAAGGAAGUCAUGUCUGACCAAACUGAUUGCCUUCUAUGAUGAGUUAACUGGUUCUAUGGAUGCAGGGAACUUUAACACGGCUUUUGAUACUGUCUCCCAGAACAUUCUUGCAAACAAGCUGAGGAAGUAUGGAUUGGAUAAAUGGACUGUAAGGUGGAGAGAAAGCUGUCUGGAUCAUUGGGCUCAAUGAGUACCAAUUAAUGGCUUGAGGUCUAGUUGGCAACCAGUAUCAAGUGGUGUACCCCAAGGGCUCUCAGAAAAAUAAAAGGCAUAUCAUUUGUGUACACCCCUGAAACAUGGGAGAUGCUGAAUUUCAGCCGAUUUUGGAUUUUAAACUUCAUUGCAGAACAACAAGGAAGUUUUUUUUGCCUCCCUGCUUGCCAUCUGACACCUCCAGAGAAGGAAUGCUACCUGAUCAACACAUCAAAGAGCUACUCAACACAGCUCACAAAGACAAAGACACUCUCAUGGACCCAGAGGCACAGACUUCCAUCUUCAGCUCCCUCUGUGCAAAAAUUAAGUUUAUUUCCUACCCAUGGGGACUUUUUACCAUCGACACUUUUCCCAGAGCCUGACAAAGGGACUUUGGUCCUGAAAGCUUGCAGAAAAGGACAAUUUUCUUGCCAUUUUCCAGUUGGUCUAAUAAAAGUGUAACAGGA